AUUCCAUGUUUUUGUAAGUCCCAUUGAGAACACGAUUCAUGUGCGCUGGCAUAAUGCUCUGACCGAGAAAGAAUCGAAGCUUCCGCUUGGAAGAAAGAUUCACAUCAAGUUGACUGGUCAAGUAAAUGGGACACUGACUAACCAUACAAUUAGACUGUUUUGAUGAGGAACGUAAAGAUUACGAGUCCCGUCCGUUUGACUCAGAGUUUGGUACCAUAGAUUGGUACGAUCUUCGUUGGAGAAGGAAAAGGGAUGUUCCAGAAACAGAAAAUAGUCAAACCAUUUACUACAAAGUCCGUUUCUGGGUGGAGUUAGUGGAACCGAAAAAGAUGUCUCCCUCACAGCGUUUGUGACAAAAGAAUUGCAUUGUUCCUUGGUGGCCUU